AAAUUGAAGAGUUUGAUCAUGGCUCAGAUUGAACGCUGGCGGCAGGCCUAACACAUGCAAGUCGAACGGUAACAGGAAGCAGCUUGCUGCUUCGCUGACGAGUGGCGGACGGGUGAGUAAUGUCUGGGAAACUGCCUGAUGGAGGGGGAUAACUACUGGAAACGGUGGCUAAUACCGCAUAACGUCGCAAGACCAAAGAGGGGGACCUUCGGGCCUCUUGCCAUCAGAUGUGCCCAGAUGGGAUUAGCUUGUUGGUGAGGUAACGGCUCACCAAGGCGACGAUCCCUAGCUGGUCUGAGAGGAUGACCAGCCACACUGGAACUGAGACACGGUCCAGACUCCUACGGGAGGCAGCAGUGGGGAAUAUUGCACAAUGGGCGCAAGCCUGAUGCAGCCAUGCCGCGUGUAUGAAGAAGGCCUUCGGGUUGUAAAGUACUUUCAGCGGGGAGGAAGGUGUUGUGGUUAAUAACCGCAGCAAUUGACGUUACCCGCAGAAGAAGCACCGGCUAACUCCGUGCCAGCAGCCGCGGUAAUACGGAGGGUGCAAGCGUUAAUCGGAAUUACUGGGCGUAAAGCGCACGCAGGCGGUCUGUCAAGUCGGAUGUGAAAUCCCCGGGCUCAACCUGGGAACUGCAUUCGAAACUGGCAGGCUUGAGUCUUGUAGAGGGGGGUAGAAUUCCAGGUGUAGCGGUGAAAUGCGUAGAGAUCUGGAGGAAUACCGGUGGCGAAGGCGGCCCCCUGGACAAAGACUGACGCUCAGGUGCGAAAGCGUGGGGAGCAAACAGGAUUAGAUACCCGGUAGUCCACGCCGUAAACGAUGUCUACUUGGAGGUUGUGCCCUUGAGGCGUGGCUUCCGGAGCUAACGCGUUAAGUAGACCGCCUGGGGAGUACGGCCGCAAGGUUAAAACUCAAAUGAAUUGACGGGGGCCCGCACAAGCGGUGGAGCAUGUGGUUUAAUUCGAUGCAACGCGAAGAACCUUACCUGGUCUUGACAUCCACAGAACUUUCCAGAGAUGGAUUGGUGCCUUCGGGAACUGUGAGACAGGUGCUGCAUGGCUGUCGUCAGCUCGUGUUGUGAAAUGUUGGGUUAAGUCCCGCAACGAGCGCAACCCUUAUCCUUUGUUGCCAGCGGUUAGGCCGGGAACUCAAAGGAGACUGCCAGUGAUAAACUGGAGGAAGGUGGGGAUGACGUCAAGUCAUCAUGGCCCUUACGACCAGGGCUACACACGUGCUACAAUGGCGCAUACAAAGAGAAGCGACCUCGCGAGAGCAAGCGGACCUCAUAAAGUGCGUCGUAGUCCGGAUUGGAGUCUGCAACUCGACUCCAUGAAGUCGGAAUCGCUAGUAAUCGUGGAUCAGAAUGCCACGGUGAAUACGUUCCCGGGCCUUGUACACACCGCCCGUCACACCAUGGGAGUGGGUUGCAAAGAAGUAGGUAGCUUAACCUUCGGGAGGGCGCUUACCACUUUGUGAUUCAUGACUGGGGUGAAGUCGUAACAAGGUAACCGUAGGGGAACCUGCGGUUGAUCACCUCCUUACCUUAAAGAAGC
rnacentral:rRNA from 1 species